rnacentral:rRNA from 1 species
AGUGAACGCUGGCGGUAGGCCUAACACAUGCAAGUCGAACGGCAGCACAGAGGAGCUUGCUCCUUGGGUCGCGAGUGGCGGACGGGUGAGGAAUACAUCGGAAUCUACUCUGUCGUGAGGGAUAACGUAGGGAAACUUACGCUAAUACCGCAUACGACCUACGGGUGAAAGCAGGGGACCUUCGGGCCUUGCGCGAUUGAAUGAGCCGAUGUCGGAUUAGCGAGUUGGCGGGGUAAAGGCCCACCAAGGCGACGAUCCGUAGCUGGUCUGAGAGGAUAAUCAGCAACACUGGAACUGAGACACGGUCCAGACUCCUACGGGAGGCAGCAGUGGGGAAUAUUGGACAAUGGGCGCAAGCCUGAUCCAGCCAUACCGCGUGGGUGAAGAAGGCCUUCGGGUUGUAAAGCCCUUUUGUUGGGAAAGAAAUCCAGCUGGCUAAUACCCGGUUGGGAUGACGGUACCCAAAGAAUAAGCACCGGCUAACUUCGUGCCAGCCGCCGCCGUAA